rfam:Gordonia malaquae NBRC 108250 DNA, contig: GM1023.
AGGCUUUCAGCCCGACCCCCCGGGGCUGAAACGCUGAUGACCCCGACCUCCUCCCCCCUGGUCGGGGUCGUCUUCU